rnacentral:pre_miRNA from 17 species
CUAUUGUGCGGCCAUCUGUCCGAGUAGUGCCAAAGUGCUGACAGUGCAGGUAGUGAUGAGGCCUUCUACUGCAGUGUAAGCACUUAACGUACUCCUUGUGUACACCAUCUUCCCUGAAGC